rnacentral:rRNA from 1 species
UGGUGGGUAGUUUGACUGGGGCGGUCUCCUCCUAAAGAGUAACGGAGGAGCACGAAGGUUGGCUAAUCCUGGUCGGACAUCAGGAGGUUAGUGCAAUGGCAUAAGCCAGCUUGACUGCGAGCGUGACGGCGCGAGCAGGUGCGAAAGCAGGUCAUAGUGAUCCGGUGGUUCUGAAUGGAAGGGCCAUCGCUCAACGGAUAAAAGGUACUCCGGGGAUAACAGGCUGAUACCGCCCAAGAGUUCAUAUCGACGGCGGUGUUUGGCACCUCGAUGUCGGCUCAUCACAUCCUGGGGCUGAAGUAGGUCCCAAGGGUAUGGCUGUUCGCCAUUUAAAGUGGUACGCGAGCUGGGUUUAGAACGUCGUGAGACAGUUCGGUCCCUAUCUGCCGUGGGCGCUGGAGAACUGAGGGGGGCUGCUCCUAGUACGAGAGGACCGGAGUGGACGCAUCACUGGUGUUCGGGUUGUCAUGCCAAUGGCACUGCCCGGUAGCUAAAUGCGGAAGAGAUAAGUGCUGAAAGCAUCUAAGCACGAAACUUGCCCCGAGAUGAGUUCUCCCUGAGACUUUAGGUCUCCUGAAG